rnacentral:pre_miRNA from 1 species
UCUGUAUACAGUAUUUACUUGGUGGUCUAUACACAGUAUUUACUUGGACCAAGUAAAUACAGUGUAUAGACCACCAAGUAAAUACAGUGUAUA